GGUGGAGCAGCUCUCGGUUUCCUGAAGGCUUUUCUGGAAUUGGAGAGACGGCCAGGACCCUGCACCGUGUGUGGCAACGAUCCGUCCCUUUUCCGUGAGCUCCGUCAUAAACGUAAAAGAAGGAAACAGACACCAAACAGAGCAUAUUUGCCAAAUCUCGAUCUAUAACAGCAAAACGGUUGCCAGUGGCUGAUUGACUAGAAUCGUACCUGGAUCCCUUCCAGACCUGGUGAGCCCUCUGCAAAUGUGCACUCGCCAUUUGAGGGUGGCCUCCACGCGACUCAGCUCAGAGGCACAAAGAGAUACAGACGUGGA